rnacentral:rRNA from 1 species
UAGUCUGCAACUCGACUACAUGAAGCUGGAAUCGCUAGUAAUCGCGAAUCAGCAUGUCGCGGUGAAUACGUUCCCGGGUCUUGUACACACCGCCCGUCACACCAUGGGAGUUGGCAACGCCCGAAGCCAGUGACCCAACCGGAAACGGAGGGAGCUGUCGAAGGUGGGACCGAUAACUGGGGUGAAGUCGUAACAAGGUAAC